UCGAGCGCCCAGGGCGCUGGGGGCUUCGGGGCAGAGCGGCCAGCCCGGGAGGACUGCGCCGGCGCGGUUCCUGCGCCUUGGGUCUCGUGAUCCCCUCGGUGCGGAGAGCAAAGCCCCGGGGCCCCUGGGCCCUCGGGUCCAGCCCCGCGUCCUACCAUGCAUCGCCCUCUGAGCGCUCUCCUCUUCCGUCUUGGUCCCGCCACGAAGUGUGGCCCGACGCCAGGGGUAAAACAGCAGGAAAAAAGCCCACCUGGAAGAUGCCUCCUCCUGUCUCAUUGGCCAGAGUAGUGUCAGUUGCUCACAUCUAAGCCAGUCAUUGGGCAAGGAGGCCCCAUGAUGGAGUGGAAGAGGUACAGCAUGUAAUGAGAGCGCAGAUCCCUGAGUCAUGGCUUGGAGGGAUUUGGACAAGAAAAGGUUUAAAUUCAUUUGAAAGAAGAGUGUGUGAGAAGUCAGAGCAGCUAAAGCCCCCUCUGGGGCUCCCAGAGCUGUUUUCUGGAGUGAGCACGGUUGGAGCUGAAGGAAGGCCUGCUCUGUGCAAGAAGUUUAACUC